rnacentral:rRNA from 1 species
UACGUAGGGUGCGAGCGUUAAUCGGAAUUACUGGGCGUAAAGCGUGCGCAGGCGGUUGUGCAAGACAGAUGUGAAAUCCCCGGGCUCAACCUGGGAACUGCAUUUGUGACUGCACGGCUAGAGUGUGUCAGAGGGGGGUAGAAUUCCACGUGUAGCAGUGAAAUGCGUAGAUAUCAGGAGGAAUACCGAUGGCGGAGGCAGGUCUCUGGGCUGACACUGACGCUCAUGCACGAAAGCGUGGGGAGCAAACAGG